GGCCUCCCAAAGUGCUGGGAUUACAGGCAUGAGCCACCGCUACAGAUUUCUUGGUUCCUUCUCUACUCCCACUGCUUCACUUGACUAGCCUAAA
rnacentral:Y_RNA from 1 species